AACACUGUUUGCUCAUGCUUCUUGUACCUUUCAAUGUCAAAGUCCUCACAUAUUCUGCAAUACUUUGUUGUGGAAGCCUUGCAGCUAGCUACUUAGGUUCCAAGAUCCCCCGGGAGUUCUCUCUAAACAUGAUAGGUAUCUAUCUCUUCUCUCUCUCUCUCUCUCUCUCUCUCUUGCACCUUAAUUAGUUAGAUAUGCAUAUAUGUAUGAGCAAUAUUAUAAUAUAGAUGUAUGUACUCUCUUACCAUCGAAAUAUAUAUAUAUAUAUAUAUAUGGAUGUGCUCCCCUCUUAAUUGUUCUGAGAACUAUUGGUAGUAUGUAGUAUUUUUCUUAUUUUUGUUGAUUGGUUACUUGAGAAGAGAAAUAAAGCUGACGAAGUUUUCAUCUUCCUGAAUUCUAUUCCACAUCCUUAAAAUUUAGAAAAAAACUGAAGGAAGAAUACUCCUUUUUUCUUUUUGGGAGGGAGCAGAAGAGAUUAUAGCGUAGGCAUGCCACCGAAGGGGUUGUUGGGUUUAUUUCUCUUAAUGUUUUAAGUUAUUCCCUCCCAUCUGAAAUUGUCUGGGCAUAAGAAUUCAAUUCUGACUUCAACCAAACAGACAAUCUCUAAGUAUAUUUAUCAUUCUCUCCAAAAUAAAUAAUGCACUGAAGACAAAAACAAGAGUAAAGUUUAAUUGCUCUCAAAACAUCUUGUGGGUACAUAAAAGAGUCAAGUUUUACUUGCAUGCAUGUUUUUAUUAGAAGAAUAACUUAGCUUUAGAUGUAAUUAUAUACUAUGAUUAUGUGUAAUAUAUUAUGAUGAUUAUGACUAACUAAUUAUUAGGGUGGGUUAGUGCAUGCAAGAAAGUCCUUCAAGCACAUUUCUAGCUUUUAUAUAUAUAUAUAUAUAUGCUGGAAGAGAAGAAAGCAGACAGACGAUCAGGCGUUUUGGACACAAACCAUGGAAAUUCCAAAACAAAAACAAGAAAGGAACAAAAGACAAAACCUACCAACUUCACACAUUUUGGGUUUCGAAACGGUGCGCGUAUAGAUUCUUUCUGUCUGUGUGUUUUGUGUUUCAAAAGGGGGAGGGAGAGAGGGUUAAUUUUAGUAUAUCAAUAUUUAUUUGAAGAUAUCUUUAACUACUAAAAAAAAAAAAUAAAUGAAUAAACCUAAUAAAAUCAUUAAUUUGCUUAAUGUGGGCUAUAAUAAGAGAUGAAAGUUAUUGCAAUUAUUAUUAUUAUAUAUAUACAUAUAUCUUUAAUUUCA
rnacentral:lncRNA from 1 species